ensembl:snRNA U1 U1 spliceosomal RNA
UUUCCUAACUGGGAGGAAGGGGGUGUGGAAAGAAAAGCGCUUCCAGGGCGAGGCUCAUCCAUUGCACUCCAGGUGUGCUGACCCCUGCGAUUUCCCCAAAUGCGGGAAACUACUGCAUAAUUUGUGGUAGUGGGGGACUGCGUUGGCGCUCUUCCCUG